rnacentral:rRNA from 1 species
CAGUCGGACGAGAAGGUACCUUCGGGUACUGGAGAGUGGCGCACGGGUGAGUAACGCGUGGGGACCUACCUCUUAGUGGGGGAUAACGGUUGGAAACGACCGCUAAUACCGCAUACGCCCUUCGGGGGAAAGAUUUAUCGCUAAGAGAUGGACCCGCGUUGGAUUAGAUAGUUGGUGAGGUAACGGCUCACCAAGUCGGCGAUCCAUAGCUGGUUUGAGAGGAUGAUCAGCCACACUGGGACUGAGACACGGCCCAGACUCCUACGGGAGGCAGCAGUGGGGAAUAUUGGACAAUGGGGGCAACCCUGAUCCAGCCAUGCCGCGUGAGUGAAGAAGGCCUUCGGGUUGUAAAGCUCUUUCAGAUGCGAAGAUGAUGACGGUAACAUCAGAAGAAGCCCCGGCUAAUUUCGUGCCAGCAGCCGCGGUAAU